UGCGUAGAUGGUAAUCUAAGCGCCAGGUUUAAACUAACGGCUCAACCGUUAAUUGCCUAGCGAACUGGAUUACUUGAGUGCUGGAGGGGAAAGCGGAAUUCCUAGUGUAGCGGUGAAAUGCGUAGAUAUUAGGAGGAACACCGGCGGCGAAGGCGGCUUUCUGGACAGCAACUGACACUGAGGCACGAAAGCGUGGGUAGCAAACA
rnacentral:rRNA from 1 species